UCUCCGUCUACACGGGCUGGAGGUGGGCGACCUGCGGGGUGAGCUCCAGGAGGCUACUCGGGAAGGUCUCGGUGCCCCUGGACCUCGCCGGGGCCGAGUUCGACGCCUGCGUGCUCCACAGCGGAGUGAAAGGGAAGACCAGAGGGAAGAAGAAAAAGAAAUAAAGGAAAAAAGAAGAGAGGGGAGAGAGAGAGGGAAGAGAGAGAGGCGACAGAGGGGGCCAGUGUGGCUGUCAGAGGGUCUGACCCAGAAUGUCCAAACCUGCGGUAGAUUUAUUUAUAUUUGGUGCCCGUCUUUAUUGAGCCUUUUUGGGUUCCACCAGAUAUUUUCGUUGGCAGGGAAAGCCAGGAAAGGGCACCCUCAUAUCUUCGGGAAAAUAGAAGCCAAUCGGGUGCUCGGUGCUCGUCCCUGUUGACAACGGAAGGUGGAAAUUGGACUACUUCGUCUUUGCCAACCCCGGAAUCAAGGAGAGCAGCUGCAAAACUUGGUUCUUGAUUAAUUUCUUCACCUCGGCCUCCAGAAGUUGCUUAUUAUCUUACUCUUGAGUUGAAAGAAAGUCCAUGGCCGUCCUUGAAUUACUCUUACUGUGCUUGCGUGCUUUCCAAGUUCAAGAAAAAGAUAUUCUCAAUGCACCGAGAAUUAUUUCCUCCGCUUUCUGGAUUUCAUACCUGAUCCUCGUCAUCCCAGGCACUCCUGUCGGUGCACAGACAUAUGUUCACGAGCGGUGCGCAGAUAGGGGCGACUACGCUGCUCCUAGCAAGUUUCAGGAAAACCUCAGCAGCCUCCUCUCCAGGGGCAACUCCGCUGAUUACAGCAAAGGACCCAUUCGCAGUUUCUACAACACAACGGAAGGUGAAGAUCCGGACAAAGUUUAUGGUCUCUUCCUCUGCAGAUGGGAUGUUGCUGCCGAUCUCUGUCAGUCCUGCAUCAUUUAGCUACCAGCACCAUCAUAGAAAGAUGUCCAGGACAGAAAGAGGCGAUCAUAUGGUACGACGAGUGUCUCAUGCGCUACUCUAACAGAUCGUUCUUCUCUAUGAUGGAGACAACACCGGUUAAAUUUAUUGUCAACCCUGCGGGCAUUUCAGCUACCUUCAACAGGAUUGUGGAGCAAACUUUUGAUAACGAGGACUUUGCAGCGAAAGUGACAGAUUUGGCUAGGAAUAUCACGGACUUGGAAAUUUCCUCAGAAAGAUUAUACGCGACCAAAGACAUUAAUGUCUCAAGUUCAGUGACCCUGCAUGAGCUUGCACAGUGCACCCCUGACAUAGCAAACUGGGCCUGUAAGAGUUGCUUGCUUUCGGCUAUCAAAGAGUUUCCUAUCGUUCUUAGUUAUAAAAGGGGAGGUGCGAGAAUUCUUCAGCCAAGUUGUAAUAUACGGUACCAAAUGACCUACGGUGGGGAACCUAACGGACAAGCACCAGCACCUUCUACAACAAACAAAACCAGCACUGAGUCCGGCAGUGAAGGGGUCAAACGAUAUCCACGGAUUGCAAUAGUUAGCUCAGUAAUUGGAGCGGGGUUACUAAUAAUCAUCAUGGGUUUGUGUAUAUUUUUAAAGAGGACAAAGAGAUGGAAGAAAGAGAAGGAAAACAGCCAAGAGGUUCAGUUACUUCAUCUAAGACGAGAAAUCGGAGAAGAGUUUUCAAAGGAAAGAACUCGAGGAGAAAAGCUGGUGGCUUCUCAAGAAUUAUCUCUCAUACAAUUAGACAUUAUACGUGCGGCCACACAAAACUUCUCCAAUGAAUGUAAACUUGGGGAAGGCGGGUUUGGCCCCGUGUACAGGGGCACAUUGGCAGAUGUAAAAGAAAUUGCAGUUAAAAGGCUUUCAAGAACCUCAGGCCAAGGACUUAUCGAGUUUAAGAACGAAGUGAUCUUGAUUGCUAGACUACAACACAGGAAUCUUGUUCGAUUAUUAGGAUGCUGCUUGGAAGAACACGAAAAACUCUUGAUAUAUGAAUACAUGCCCAACAAAAGCCUGGAUGUCUUCCUUUUUGAUUCAACUAUGGGGCAAUCUUUAGACUGGAAGAUGCGCAUGAACAUCACAUUUGGAAUAGCUCGGGGGCUUCUAUAUCUACAUGAGGAUUCUCGCCUAAGAAUUAUCCAUAGGGAUCUAAAAGCUAGUAAUAUUUUACUAGACGGCGAGAUGAAUCCAAAGAUAUCUGAUUUCGGAAUGGCAAGGAUCUUUGGUGUAAAUCAAGAUGAGGCCAACACAAAUAGGGUUGUUGGAACAUAUGGAUACAUGGCACCGGAAUAUGCGAUGCAAGGGCUAUUUUCUGUUAAAUCAGAUGUCUUCAGUUUUGGAGUUCUCUUGCUAGAGAUGAUCAGCGGAUGAAAGAACAACGGUUUUCAUCUCCAAGAGCAUGGUGAAAGCCUUCUCACCCUUGCAUGGAAGUUGUGGUCUGAUGGUCGAGGGUUGGAACUUAUUGAUCCAUCAAUCAAAGAGCCAUGUGAUGGAGUUCAAGUGGUAAAAUGCAUACAUAUCGGUCUAUUGUGCGUCCAAGAAGACCCAACAGAUCGACCAACCAUGUUGCUCGUGGUUCAUAUGCUAGGAGCCGAUACUAUCCCACUUACCCAACCAUCACUACCUGCAUUCUCAGUUGGGAGAGAUGUGAGAACACUCAAUCCUAUCGGUCUAAUUCACAAAACUUCCACUGUUAAUGAAGUAACCCUUUCAGAUGUAUCUCCUAGGUGACUAAGUAUCAUCAGCUCGUCUUCAAUUGAUUUCUCUUUUAUAAAAUGGAAAUGGUUUGCAAUUUAAUAAAAUAGAAUGAUAAUUAUAGUGUGAUCUCUUUAGCAUUGUGAAUGCCAUCUCUUAAUGACAAUCCAACCUGUCAUCAUUCCGUGUAUAAUACUAAAUACAAUUGAAUUAAUCACACUCGGUUCUUUUUAAUUACAA